GAUCUGCUCAUCUACGUGGCAUGCUGUCCACCGCUGGAUCGAUGAGAGGAGCCAAAACCCUACUGCCUUGAGCUUGCUUCAGCCAAAGUGAACUCAUGAUCAUCACGAGCCCUAAAGAAGGAUUAGAUUUUGAUAUAUGGUGGUUCAAGAGUACCCAAGAUUAGCAAUCAGGUUAUAAACCAAUUUAAAUGCCCAGAUUGCCCAUGAAGUCCAUGUUAAUGCCCAAAUUGCCCUUCUUCAACUCUCCAACGGUUAUGUUUGGCACUUCUAUAUAUAGGUAAUGGAUGCACCCAGUAUAAUAUCUUCCUCUCUUAUAUUCUCUUAUGUAAACUAAUGUCUCAAUCAAGAGUAAAUAGUCAUGAAGGUAGGGGCAGAAGUAGAGGUCAUAUACAGUAUACGAACAAGAUUUGUCGUUAUGAGGAUUUUGCUAUAGUGAAGGUUACAGAGAAUGACAAAAAUCACAACAAAGGAAGGUUGUAUUAUACUUGUGAAAAUCAAACAUGUAGUUUUUGGGAAUAGUGUAAUCCUAUAGAUGGUUCUGUUGCUGCUGUUGUUGCUGGUGUUGGUGCUGUUGAGGAGUAUUCACCUGCAAAUCAACUUCUGCUUGAGGUUGUUGCUGAACUGAGGUUACAAAGACAAGCUAUAGGUUCAAGGUUACAAGUUGUUGAAAAAGAUAUUUUAUAUUUUUAAAGAUAGUUGUAUUU